GGUGUGUGCUGCUGGCACGGAAACUGCUCCUACUCCCCCUUUAACCCUGCCCAGAGCUCCUGCCAUUGGAAACCUGAGCAGGUUUCCUGGGCACAUGUCCUGUGAGCAUCCAGUGAUGCAGGGAAGAAAGGAGGUUGCCAGUCAGCACAGGAGGAAGCCAUUGCUGUGCUUGAAGAUGACUGGGAAAGCUGUUUGACUGCAAAGGCAGCAGGAGGUGAGCAAACAGGGGUGGAGAGAAAAAGGAAAGCAGCUGUUUCAGCCUUCAAAUUGAACACAUGUUUGAAUAUCUGCUCUCUGAGGAAGGCUAAACCAUACCACAUGCUGCUUACCUGUGGCCAUGCGCCCCUCUAGGACAUCCCUGUGAACAAAGAGCUUGCAGAGCUAUGUGAUGCUGUGAAAAUGCUUCUCCCAAAUCUUCUCAGGGGCGUUCAUCUGGAGGAGCAUCAUGUGCUGUAUGAGCUGCUGGUGCUCAGAGCCACAGCCUGCUGCAGUGGGCUCUCUGCACUGAUGAUGUAGGAAGCAAAUCCUACCCGGAGAUGUGCUGUGAACAAAUGCUUCCUGCCUUAGGCUUGUUCUCCUGUUCCACGGUGGGAUUUCCUUUGUUGAACUGCCACAUCCACUGCUGACUCAUUUCAGCUGCUGCCUUGUGCAGCUCCUCAGCAGCCUUACAUGGAGCCCCUGCUCUGCAAAGUAGAGCCCCUCUCCUGGGUCACAGCUCUGGAUGUCUGACUUCACACCAAGGAUGCUGCACGUGGUGGUAGUGCUCAGCAGAAGAUGAGGUUUAGCCCCUGUGUUUUAAAGUAACUCUAUGCAGUUCUGAUUUACCACAUGGAGUGUCCUAGAAAGGUGCAAAUUAAUGUAUAGUUGAAAACAUGUAGUCACCAUUUAUUGCUCCUGUUCUGUCCUUUGCCCCAAGCCCUUCCUGUGCUCUACAAAGUGCAAAGUAAAAUCAUACUAAACCUGG